AUUAAAACACCGUUUCCCGUACGAUCACCGAAGUGAAGCAAUGUCGAGCGUGGUCAGUACCUAGAUGGGUGACCGCUUGGGAGUACUAUGUGCUGCAAG